rnacentral:rRNA from 1 species
UACGUAGGUGGCAAGCGUUGUCCGGAUUUACUGGGUGUAAAGGGUGCGCAGGCGGGACUGUAAGUUGGAUGUGAAAUGCCGGGGCUCAACCCCGGACCUGCAUCCAAAACUACAGUUCUUGAGUGAAGUAGAGGUAGGCGGAAUUCCGAGUGUAGCGGUGAAAUGCGUAGAUAUUCGGAGGAACACCAGUGGCGAAGGCGGCCUACUGGGCUUUAACUGACGCUGAGGCACGAAAGCAUGGGGAGCAAACAGG